GGGUUCCUGACUGGGGUACGGGCGUCACAAGAGAAUUUUGGGAGUCCUUGUGUGGAUUUUGUGCCUCCCUGACUGGAUUUGGGGCAAUUUUAGGGAGAAUUUGGGGUCAUUUCGGGGUCCUUGAAUGUAUUUUGGGGAAUUUGGGGGAUUUUUGGGAUCCCUGAUGGGAUUUUGGGGUAUUUUGGUGCAAUUUCAGGAUCCCUGAAGGUAUUUUAGGAUAUUUUGGUGCAAUUUUUGGGGUGAUUUGUGGUAAUUUCAGGGUCUGUUCUGGUAUUUGGAUGUAAUUUUGGGGUAUUUUGGUGUAUCUUGGUUUGAACAGACAGGUGUGUGCUGAGGAAGGCAGGAGACCCCUGAAGUGGAAAAUGUGAACCCUCUCCGUCUGAAUUGUAAUAAAUUUGAAAAUAAAAGGCUCUCGGGAAAAGAUAUGGGAGCAGAAAUAACAGAUCUUUAUUUGGGUCACACACAGAUUGUAGUUUCCUGUUUGACAGCUGAGAACAACUCAUCCUCCACUGUUAGCAGAGACAGUUGCAAAGGAAGCUCGCUAUCUUCGUGAGGCUUAAUUAAUUGAAAUCUGACUCAGAGAUAACUCCCCCCAGGAGCCAUUUCUGUCUGAUGGGCAAUCAAGGACCAAUCAUAACUCAUAGAAUGAUAUCAGCCCUGUGAGAUGCUCCGCCCAGGGGGAGGAGCUCAGCAUCCCCACCUGGAUAUAAUCUGGGCUUUGGGACAGAACAGGCAGCCCUUACCCACUGGUUUCCAGAGGACAGGAGUUACCAGAUCUUUUCUAGGGGAUCACCACUUCAGCAAGACCAUUUCAUCUGGACUGCUACCACUGCCCUAACUAGCAGGGUGUCAGGUUGGAUUCUGACUCCGUCAGUAGU